AGCAGAAACUGAGAAACAGCAAAAACACUGUGAUGAGCAAAUGCACACAAGACAAUUUUGCUGCAGAGAAAUCAAUGACUGGAACACUGAAAAGGUGAACCUGGAAGAAAAAUUCAUGGGCACAAAGGCAUUUAUAUCUCAGAACUGGCUGCCCUGCCCUGCCUGCUAACACAGACCCCAGGCAGGAAGUCUGCCCGUCAUUCUAUCAAGAACAACAUCAAUGCUUCACCCAAACCGACACCACCACAAACCCUCAAUCCCGGGGUGGAGGGGUGGCGGUAAUAUGUUUACAGAGGACUGGAACUCACCAACGUCACCUCAAGGGGAGAGCCUGGCUAGAUUCUAGAUUACACUUGCUUUUUCCCACUGAGAGUUACUAGGGGCCAUCAUCUCUCCUACCGCCAACCCUGCUGUUGGCAGCCCUGUGGCUGUGCAGGAGCGAGCAGCUGUGGAGGGGGUCCAGCUCCUGGAGGGAGGGAGGGAGGAGGCCUGCAGGGGAAGGAGCCUGCAGCGCGUGGAAGGAAAAAGGUGACUAUCUGCUAGGUUUUUCUAGGGCUGCUUAUAUUUCUGAAGAACAUACUUGGAAAAAUGAAGGCUUAAAAAUAACAGAAUGCAUUUCUAUUGACAGAAUUUUGGGUCAGAGGAUGAAGCCAGGUGCAGAGGCAACCCCCAACCCCACUGAGACCUAAUCUGCCCUCUCUGGGGAGGGGUGUGUGGUGUCCGCAGGGUGAGUUCCUGCUGCUGUUCUUGCUCCUUCCAGCACGUGGAGGGUGGCCGUCACCAUCUGCCCACUCUGAGGCUGGUUUGUCCUCAGGACAUAGUGUUGGCCAAUGAUGUGUGGCCAAGGUGAGAGAUGACACUUGUAGCCAUAAGGACUUGUGGGUGACACGCUUUCCCUCUGCGCCACAGGGACAGGCCUGUGGGGUGGGGAGGCUCCUCGGGCAGGGCCUGGAGGGAGUGCAGGCUGAUGGCUGACAGACAGCACCAGGAAACCAGAUGUAAGCUCUUCCGAGGUUAAGCCCUUGAGAUUCUGGAGGUGCCUGUUACCUGCAAUGGCCGAGCCUCUCCUACUGACAGAGAAGAGGGCAGCCAGGAAGAACCCGUUCCUCAUGAGUAGAAAAUUCUAACACUCGAUAUCUGAGAGUCUCCCCACUCCUGAACUGAGUACGUAACACAACACGUACAUAUUUCAAAAUUCCGAAACAAUUUUUUUACUUUUUUUUCGAUUUUGGAAGUUGAAACUCAAAAGUUGGGGAAAAACAAGGUAAGAAGACAGAGAAUUCAGAACCCAGGAGGUCUCACGGAAGGAAAGUGGGGAACUGGUACUUGGAGCUGCCUCUCUGAGGCGCCCGGGCAUCUCGCACACCCUCCCUCCCUCCCUUCCUUUCUUCCGGGCUGAAUGGAGCAAAUGUCCCUCCUUCUGUGAGGGCCAGUCCUUCCACGGGGGCUUGGGGUCCCCUCACCUUCUCAGGAACUGGGCCCCUAGGGUGGUUCUCUCCCUCCUAGAACCAACCCACUGACACACCAAAAUAAUCUUAACAGGACAUGCCACUGACUUCAUACACCCCACACCACUGAACUUCUCAAAAGCCUGUCCACUUCCUCUCCCCUCAAACCUCCUCCCUGAUCCUGAACUUACUGCCACGAAAGCUAUCGAAGGCCCAGUUUGUAAAUGUCUUACAAAAUUACGAUUUGAUUUUUUUGAUUGAUUUGCUUUCUUAGCACAGCUAUACAAGUUAUUCCACAGGAAGAAAAUGACAAACUUGGAAAGCAGACUGGAGAAGGAGGAAGAGAGUGGGAAGAUAUAACCCUCAACUGUUAAAAGUCAGAGACGUUCCGUUCAUCUAUCAGGGAUUAUUUCUUCUAAAUUUUUUAAAAAACAUUUAAAAUGUAAGCCUUUCAGAUUACAGCAUUAAUAGAAAAUUGCUGCAACUAGGAAAAUAAUACAAUACCGACUAAUGCAUGAGAACAAAGCGAAUCCCUCAAUCCCUCAGUAACAGCCACCCACGAGAAACCAAUACUCAAGUCUUCUUCAACUUACGAUGGGGCUGCAUCCCGAUACACCCAUCGUAAGUUAAAAAACAUAAGAAGUUUAAAUGCACUGAAUACAUCUAACCUACAGAACAUCAUAGCCUCGCCUGACCUACCUUAAAAGUGCUCAGAACACUACAGUUAGGAAAAUAGUCUAACACAAAGCCUAUUUUAUAAUAAAGUGUUGAGUAACUCAUAUAAUUUAUUAACACUGUGCUGAAGGUGGAAAACAGGAUGGCUGUCUCGGUGCGGAAUGGCUGUAAGCGUACCGGCUGUUCCGGCUCGUGAUCGCACGGCUGCCGCGGAGCUGCGUUUGCCGCUGCCCAGCGUCGCGAGAGAGUAUGUUACUGCAUCUCUCUCACCCAGGAAAAGGUCAACAUGCAAAAUUCGAAGUACAGUUUGUACCAAACGUGACUGCGUUCACACCAUCAUACAGUCAAUCCCUUGCAAGUCUAACAACUCGCUGUAAGUCGGGGAUCACCUAUAUGUGAACACCAUGCACAGACGUCCUCGCCUCUUUCUCAAUAUACCCUCUCCAGCCACCGGUCGGCCCCCACUGUGCACUGCUAGUGCUGUUGUCAAGACCGUCAGUGAAUCCGCCUCAUCAAAUCCAAGAACUCUCCUUCCUUAUUUGACCAACCAAACACAUUGAGUGUCACCUGCUACUCCCUCCUUUUCACACCCUCCCCUUGGCUUCCUGGUCUACCUGGUCUGCAUCUGCUGGUUUUCCUUGCACCUCUGUGGUUGCUUCUUAGGCUCUUUGCUGGCUCUUCCUUCUCCAACCAACCCCUAGAUGUGGGGCUCCUGAGGGCUCAGUCCUGAGCCUUCUCCACUCUUUACAUGUUCCUCCGUAUGAUUCUGUCCCUGCCCCUGGAUUUAAAUAACACACUUACACUGAAGAAGCCCACAUUUAUAACUCCAACCCAGAUCUCUCUUUGGACCAUAAGACCCAAAUAUCUAAGUCCAUCCUUGACAUCAUCACUUCGAUAAAAACUUAACAGGCACCACAAACUUGACAGGUCCAAAACAUUUCUCCUCCCCAACCACUGCCAACAACUUGACACCAGCUGCUCAGAUUCAAAACCUCAGAGUCAUCCUUGAUGUGUCCCUUUCCCUCCCCUCCACAUGCAAUCCCUCACUCCAUCCUGUUGGAUGUACCUUCCUGGUGUAUUCCAAACUCACUUUUCCCCACAUUCUACGUCUACGUUUUAGUCCAGGCCACCUUAUCUCUUACCUGGUCUGCUGUUACGGAUGACUACUGGCUCUCUCUACAUCCACACCUAUCCUUUACAUCUAUUACCCACAAAACCCAAGAUGGUUUUCUUACAUCAGACAUGUCACCUUCCAGCAAAAACCCCAAAGGGAAUCCCACCACACUUGGGAUUCCAAACGAACUCCUAACAUGGCCACAAAACCCUGCCUUUCCACACGCCCAUUUCCUCUUUACUUACCACACCCCAGUCUUCUCUCAGGUCCUCUCUAAAGCCAAGUGAUUUGUACUCAGGGCCUUUGCUCUAACAUGCUGGGCUCCUCUUCCCUCAUUUUCAUACAGUUUGCUCCCUCUCAGCUUUUAAGUUGCCACUUAAAUGAAAACUCAAGGGAACUUCUGUUGCCGACUGAAUUCACACCAGGCCCCUCUGUCACUCUGGGGAACAGUCCCUGUUUAUUUCAUUCACAGCCCUUGUUCCAACUUGCAACGUUCAUAUUUUCGGUUCGCUUGCUUUUGCCCGUAUUUCCCAUAAGAGCAAAGACCACUUCUCUCUGGGUCACUGCUACAUUCCCAGGGUUUAGCCCAAUGCUUGGCAUAGAGUAAAUUCUUAAUAAAUACAGGGACUGCAUAAAUGAACGUGGUUUUUCCCCAUCCCACCUCCACCAA